rnacentral:rRNA from 1 species
AAUAGAUACCCGGGUAGUCCACGCCGUAAACGAUGAAUGCUAGGUGUCAGGGGUUUCGAGACCCUUGGUGCCGAAGUUAACACAUUAAGCAUUCCGCCUGGGGAGUACGGCCGCAAGGCUGAAACUCAAAGGAAUUGACGGGGACCCGCACAAGCAGUGGAGCAUGUGGUUUAAUUCGAAGCAACGCGAAGAACCUUACCAGGUCUUGACAUCCCUCUGAAUACGCCAGAGAUGGUGUAGGCCCUUCGGGGGACAGAGGAGACAGGUGGUGCAUGGUUGUCGUCAGCUCGUGUCGUGAGAUGUUGGGUUAAGUCCCGCAACGAGCGCAACCCUUAGGUCUAGUUGCCAGCACUUCGGGUGGGCACUCUAGAGCGACUGCCGGUGACAAACCGGAGGAAGGCGGGGAUGACGUCAAAUCAUCAUGCCCCUUAUGACCUGGGCUACACACGUGCUACAAUGGCCGGUACAAAGGGCAGCGAAGCCGCGAGGCGGAGCCAAUCCCAAAAAGCCGGUCUCAGUUCGGAUUGCAGGCUGCAACG